rnacentral:tRNA from 5 species
GGAGAGAUGGUCGAGUUGGUUUAAGGCACCGGUCUUGAAAACCGGCGUACCUUCACGGGUACCUAGGGUUCGAAUCCCUAUCUCUCCGCCA